rnacentral:lncRNA from 1 species
CAGAUACUGAAACCCACAGCUAAACAGGAGGCUGAGCUCAGAGAAUCUUCUGGAAGAGAGAUAGAAGAAGGAUUUAUAGGUGCAAGGAGAUCCAAUGCCCUCUGAGGACACCAAGUAAGCAUGAAGUGCAGAAAGAAGAUAUAAGGAUAAAGCUUCAAGACUCAGCUGAGAAAUCUCUGCUAAACAUGGAACAUUAUUAUGGCCACAUGCUAUACACUUUGGCUAAACGUCUUAGCACUGUGUAGCAGGGGUGCUCUUCCAGAAAGUCUCCCUUAACACUUCGCCCACUGCCAUCUACAUCCACAGGACAAUUCUUAUGGUUGUUUUCAC